GAUGCAGAUAUCUCUCCUGAGGAUCCACAGGUGGGACAGGGAGGACUUCAGGAUGCUCCUGGAGCGGCCUAGUGGAGCGUGGCAUUUAUUUGUUAUUGUGUUCCCUUUUGGAUUUUGGGGAUUUGUUUUAGCAAUUAUGACUCAUGGAUUAGCUAUGAAGCUUUAUUUGAUUAAGUUGUUAAUUGUGAACUUUUAUUUUGGACUAUAAUGAAUAUUUAUUUAAUCUUGUUGUUUUGAGUAGUUUUGGGAUAUUGUAAUUUAUGAGAAUUCUAGUGAGAUGUAUAAAAAAAAAAAAAAAAAAAUCCAGAGUGUUUUGGUUGACUGCCAACAUGGAAUAGGAGGAACCCUUAGGGUCAAACCUUUGACCUGGGGUCACGGG
rnacentral:lncRNA from 1 species